rnacentral:rRNA from 1 species
ACUCCUACGGGAGGCAGCAGUGGGGAAUAUUGCACAAUGGGCGCAAGCCUGAUGCAGCCAUGCCGCGUGUAUGAAGAAGGCCUUCGGGUUGUAAAGUACUUUCAGCAGUGAGGAAGGUGGGUAUGUUAAUAGCAUACUCAUUUGACGUUAGCUGCAGAAGAAGCACCGGCUAACUCCGUGCCAGCAGCCGCGGUAAUACGGAGGGUGCGAGCGUUAAUCGGAAUUACUGGGCGUAAAGCGCAUGCAGGUGGUUUGUUAAGUCAGAUGUGAAAGCCCGGGGCUCAACCUCGGAAUUGCAUUUGAAACUGGCAAACUAGAGUACUGUAGAGGGGGGUAGAAUUUCAGGUGUAGCGGUGAAAUGCGUAGAGAUCUGAAGGAAUACCGGUGGCGAAGGCGGCCCCCUGGACAGAUACUGACACUCAGAUGCGAAAGCUGGGGAGCAAACAGGAUUAGAUACCCUGGUACGGCUCUGC